rnacentral:lncRNA from 1 species
GUAUCGCGGGAUUUGGGCGGAACUCUCGCGCAGUCUGGAACCCUCACCCCGCCCCCCAAGCCCCGCGCGGGAGGCGAGAGGGGCUGAGGGUGGAGCGCCGGGGCGAGGUUGUGGGCAGAGGGAAAGAGGGAAAGGGAUUCAAUGGGAGACGGGAGCCUAGGUUCUGGGGACACCCCGUCCCCGCGCAGCCCUCACCUUUCAGCCCUCGCAGAGUCCGGACAGCCCUGUCCGCCCGCGGAGACCGGCCUCUGCCUAUGAGACACAAUUGGGGGCGUUUCACAAAGGGCGGUGAGGAGUAGGGGGCCUGCCAGCGCCCCCCGGUAUCCUCGUGGUGAGCGGGGAAGACCGCCCGGCGUCCUAGUGCUGCAGGACGCGGCGACGCGUGGAAGCUGACGGCAGGGGCGGGGCGGCCCCACCCCUUUAUCUCGGCCGCGCGCCCCGCGCUCUGCGCUUUUUAUCUCCCGUCCCGCCCGGCCAAGACCUCUGGCCGGUUGACUUCAGUCUCAUGAAAGCGUUUCACUUGACCUACUUCCAUCUUAUUAUUCAUGUCUUUGCGCUGCAGGACUGCCAGAACCCUGCAGAUGCUGGGGGCUGCCACUCCUCGGCUUUCUUUUCCGCCGAGGAACGCGGAGGUAAAAUUUGAAAUUGACCAAACCCAAGGACCGAUUAAAAUUAUCCUGGAAGACAAAGACUUGCACAAAAAAACAGCCAUCAAUAAAAAGCAGUAUGAUACAAGCUAAAAGAAGGUGCAGAAAUAUAAAUAUUCCCAGAACUCAGAAAAGAGACAACAUUGUUGGACAGAGAGCAUUUCAUCCAAGUGGUAGAGUUUGAGAGGGGAGCUGACAGCUAAAUAUAAAAACUUACUCAUCCUGAUAGUAAUGUAUUCUCAAAACACCAACCUUCAAGCCACAAAAGCGACCUAGAAUUUUUGUUGGGUGUAUCUACAUAUAAGAACACAUUCAGUACCUUUUUUCUCACUAAUGAAUAAUUGGUCUGCCCAAGAGGUUUGAAGGGAAGUGGAGAUACUAAAAAUAGGACCACAAGAUUGGCAGGUAGUUCUUUUGGAAAUGGAGUCCCUUCUUGCUGAAUGCAAACCUUAUAGGCUUCCCACUUGAAAUCCAUAUUCUACAUGAAAUAUCACAUGAACCAGGACAACCCACCAACUAAACAGCAUUAACAACUUCCCUCACUAAUUCCUCAAGCCUGCAAUGCAAUAACCGUUUUUAGAUAAAUUAUUUUUACAACAAUUUGUUAGUGUUGUUUCAUCACACAAUUGACUGGAGCAGACACAGAUGAACAUUUUCUCACUCAGCAGCAGGGAAUGGAACAUUGAUGCUGGGAAAAGAAAAUGAAGCUACAGGAAAAAAGUGUGCCUACAAUGAAGAGAAGGGAACUAACAUUUAUAUAGUGCUAUCCAUGCCCAACAUGAUGGUCACACAGUGGGAACAAGAUGAACAAAGCAAAUCUUUGUUCUGGAAAGAAAAUAAUAGAGAGAGUGUAUAUAUAAAUAAUUAUAACACAAGUUAGAAAGUUCUGAGUACAAUAGGAGAACUUUUCCCCCUUUUAAAGGAUUGGGGAGCUUAGAAGAGGGAUAGUUGAAUUCCAGCAAGUUGUAUCAGGGAUAGUUCUUGAGAAACGGGGCCUUGAAGAUUGAGUGGUUAGUUCUGGACAUGUGGGAACAGGGAACAUUCUAGGCACAAAGACUAGAAUAAGCAAAAGUGUGCUCAGGAUCAGCAGGCAGUCUAGUUUAGUUGUGGCUAUGUGGUACUUACGUUGUCCUGGAAUCUUGGUUGCAAGUGACAGAAACCCAACCUGAACUUGCUUGAGCAACAGUGAAGGAGAAGAAUUAGCUGAAGGAAUCCAAAAAAGAGUUGAACAGUCAAACUAAGGUGGAAGAGGGAAAAUGAACCAAGGCUUCAGGAACUUCUGGAACAGGAACUUCAGCACCACCAGAACUCUCUUGCCUCUUUGCUUCCCUUGCUGCACUGGCUUCAGUUUCUCUCAAGACAAAGCUAGUAGCUUUCUUCAUAUAUCCGGAAAUACGGCACCCUCAAGUUUUACAUCUUACUAUUUUCAUCACUAGAAAGGGACUAACGCUCAAUUUAAGUUUGAAAAAUCAUGGGGGAAAAAAGUGCUGGUUGGCCAGGCUUGGAUCUGUGCCCAUCCCCAGAACAAUGCCAGGAGGCCAAGGGUAAGGGCAGGGCACACCAUAGUACUCGCUAAUGGUAUGAGAAAAAGUGGGAGAUGGGUCUGGAAAAGCAGUCAAGUCUUAUGAGGCUGUGCUCUGGGAGUUGAUGGGGACUGAAGUUGGCAUCUGUACAAGGAGCAUAUCAGCAAGCGGGGGAAAUAGUCCAAAAUUAUGGUGAACAUUUGCUGGACUAUCAGGUUAAAAUAGAGUUGAAAAUUUUGUCAUUGUUCAAAUUGAUUAAUG